rnacentral:rRNA from 1 species
UUGACGGAGAGUUUGAUCCUGGCUCAGGACGAACGCUGGCGGCGUGCUUAACACAUGCAAGUCGAACGAUGAUGCCCAGCUUGCUGGGCGGAUUAGUGGCGAACGGGUGAGUAAUACGUGAGUAACCUGCCCUUGACUCUGGGAUAAGCCUGGGAAACUGGGUCUAAUACUGGAUACUACUUCCUGCCGCAUGGUGGGUGGUGGAAAGGGUUUUACUGGUUUUGGAUGGGCUCACGGCCUAUCAGCUUGUUGGUGGGGUAAUGGCUCACCAAGGCGACGACGGGUAGCCGGCCUGAGAGGGUGACCGGCCACACUGGGACUGAGACACGGCCCAGACUCCUACGGGAGGCAGCAGUGGGGAAUAUUGCACAAUGGGCGGAAGCCUGAUGCAGCGACGCCGCGUGAGGGAUGACGGCCUUCGGGUUGUAAACCUCUUUCAGUAGGGAAGAAGCGAGAGUGACGGUACCUGCAGAAGAAGCGCCGGCUAACUACGUGCCAGCAGCCGCGGUAAUACGUAGGGCGCAAGCGUUGUCCGGAAUUAUUGGGCGUAAAGAGCUCGUAGGCGGUUUGUCGCGUCUGCUGUGAAAGCCCGGGGCUCAACCCCGGGUCUGCAGUGGGUACGGGCAGACUAGAGUGCAGUAGGGGAGACUGGAAUUCCUGGUGUAGCGGUGAAAUGCGCAGAUAUCAGGAGGAACACCGAUGGCGAAGGCAGGUCUCUGGGCUGUUACUGACGCUGAGGAGCGAAAGCAUGGGGAGCGAACAGGAUUAGAUACCCUGGUAGUCCAUGCCGUAAACGUUGGGCACUAGGUGUGGGGGACAUUCCACGUUUUCCGCGCCGUAGCUAACGCAUUAAGUGCCCCGCCUGGGGAGUACGGCCGCAAGGCUAAAACUCAAAGGAAUUGACGGGGGCCCGCACAAGCGGCGGAGCAUGCGGAUUAAUUCGAUGCAACGCGAAGAACCUUACCAAGGCUUGACAUUCACCGGACCGCCCCAGAGAUGGGGUUUCCCUUCGGGGCUGGUGGACAGGUGGUGCAUGGUUGUCGUCAGCUCGUGUCGUGAGAUGUUGGGUUAAGUCCCGCAACGAGCGCAACCCUCGUUCUAUGUUGCCAGCACGUGAUGGUGGGGACUCAUAGGAGACUGCCGGGGUCAACUCGGAGGAAGGUGGGGAUGACGUCAAAUCAUCAUGCCCCUUAUGUCUUGGGCUUCACGCAUGCUACAAUGGCCGGUACAAAGGGUUGCGAUACUGUGAGGUGGAGCUAAUCCCAAAAAGCCGGUCUCAGUUCGGAUUGAGGUCUGCAACUCGACCUCAUGAAGUCGGAGUCGCUAGUAAUCGCAGAUCAGCAACGCUGCGGUGAAUACGUUCCCGGGCCUUGUACACACCGCCCGUCAAGUCACGAAAGUUGGUAACACCCGAAGCCGGUGGCCUAACCCCUUGUGGGAGGGAGCCGUCGAAGGUGGGACUGGCGAUUGGGACUAAGUCGUAACAAGGUAGCCGUACCGGAAGGUGCGGCUGGAUCACCUCCUUUCUAAGGA